GCCUCUAGGGUUCAUGUUCUUCAAUAAGCGAUCUCUAAAAAAACUUCUGAAGCUUUCUCACACAUCUUCAAUGGUGUGUCGAGGGAUUUGGCUGACUGAAAUCGAGUCGUCUCCCACUAUCCCCCAUUCAAUGGUCCCAUUACUUCCUCAAAGACGAACAAUCCAGACCUACAAAUAAGGGUUCUUAGUCUAUCAGAUCCAUCCACUUCUCAUUAGAAUCCUUAGAAACCCUCACACCAGGAAUGGGUGUCCCAACACUGUCGGAGUCCGAUUGUUUAGAUUCUGGGAAGUCCAAAAUCUUAAGAAAGGCGGCGAACUCAUAGCCUAAGUGUCUAAUGGGUGUCGACAUGCUCCUCAAGUAUUUCCGGUGUCGUGUAACUCUUUUUUUUUUUUUUUUCGAGAAAAAUGUCAUAUAACUAUUUCUUCCUCCUUGCACUACUUUUUUUUAAACUCAAACCAGAGAUUUAAUCUUUUGUUUUAGACCUAUCACAGUCGACAAUGAUUUAAGGUUCUGUUAACGCACACUGGCUCAACACCUUCAAACAGGAAGGCUCAAUGUACUCUGUUACUGGGUUCGACAUUACACGUAGUAACCAAAACUUCAAGCUGUCGGAUUCCAAGCUCUCCGUACGGUUCAAUGAUGAGACCUGAGACGACCGACUUUGCUGAGAUUACCGAAUAGGUUAAUCUGAUACCUUUAGAGUUAUUUCUGCAAUGAGGGAAAUCUGCUUGCUUUUACUAACACCAAUACUUAUCUUCCUGACAUUAUUGGUCAGUUGACCGGGAUCAAAAGCACAUUCAGCGAAGAAGCACACAGCAAAGGCCGUGUUAUGGCAACCAUUAAAAUUCAAAGGCUCAGCCUCAUUCUCAUAUCCAAAAGUUUCUUUAUUGGCGUCUGUUCUCACAUUAAAAGAAUAAAACUUUUAACAUUAGUCCAAACAUUAUACAUGUACAGGGAUGUAUCGGGUUGGUUUCGUGUGUUCAAUGCAAUGGCUACUGCAUUUCUUGAAAAUUACAGAGCUACGGCCUAGACCCAAAGGUUAUUGUGUCAACCCAAAAAUUGUUGGAGGUGGCAGGCAACAGUUAUUUUCAGAGUGCAUUAGGUUGGAGUCAAAUGCCGGCAUAAACCAAAUAACUGCUCCGUCUGUUUUUUAAUUUCUGGGACAGUCAUUACUUCCCAUUUCUUCAGCCCUAUGCUUGAUUUCUCUCACCUUUUCUGAAAUCAAGUUGCAGCACUUUUACAAUGAACUUGUGGAGUACAAGGCUGGUGAUUUUACCGCUCAACAGAGUGAGAUAGAAUCGCAACAAGUGGAUAAAGACGCACUCGAGGCUUUUUGCUGCAUGAAGUACGAAAUUUGCGACUGUUUUACUUCUUCAAGUUGUGUUUUCCACAAACAUCUUUAUACGAAGUCGACAAUGUAUCAUUGAGGAGUUCGUUGUUGAUCCCAACCCUGUGGAGAAGGCUAGCUUCUUAUUUUCCACUCUUAGCUUCUCCUAGACAUUAAAAGUGCGGCAUUUUUCUAUUGCAGGAAUUUGCAUGCUUUUUUAACGUAUAUUUGUUCCCUCAUAGGCUCAUGCAAUUUAGUCUAAAGUUCAUAUGUAGUUUCUUCGUUCUCAUAUGCAUAUGCUUAUAUUUGACAUUUUCCUCUAUCUCUAUUGUUUUAUUUCUGUUCUGGUGA